rnacentral:lncRNA from 1 species
AGAGAGAGAGCUACAAAAAAAUUACGCACCACUGUUUUCCUUAACAUAACUGGCCCCUGAACAAAAUUUUCACAACAGAAUAAUGCUAAACUGGCCCGCCUUUGAACACAUCGGAUAGGGGCCUCACUGCCAUAAACACAUCUACCACCUGAAAAAUAUGCAAAAUCUCAUCAGUCCUUCCAAAACGUCACUGGAAUUUUAUAUAAAUCAAGAUGCACAAAAAAUCAAUACUUAGCUCCAGAUUCUUUACCUCAUUAGUCACAGCGUCCUUGCCGUAAUAUUUUAGUCAAACCUCAAUAAGCAACUGCUUAACUUCCCCAGCUGGCCUCCGCCCACAACCAUACUCCUACAAGGCUACAACCACCCGAAGCAAGAAAGAACUCAGACAGCAUUUGUACUAACAAAAAAAAGUUGCUAAAAGAAAAACAAAUAAGCUCAUUAGCAGUAGCAGUCUCGCCUUCCUUAACUCCUCGAGCUUAGCAUCAUCUUCUAGGAAAAUACUGAGAUAUUUGAAUGGUAUAUCUACUUGCAAAUGCCCAUAACAUAAAAAUUAAAAAUAUUCCUUUAGUUACAAGGCACCAGGUACUGAAACAAAUAUUACAAGACACGUAAAAUCAAAUUGGCGCGUAAGUGCUGGUUUGUUUCUUUCUUGGACAAACUAUAUAAUGACAAGAGGCUGUGGUAGUAAAACCAGCAACAAAUCAUGCCAAUUGAGGAGAACAAAUUUCUCUUUCUGUUUCCAAUAUGUAAGACAAUCGAAAUACAUCAAGAUCCACUCCAACCUCUUCAUGUUUCCCUACUGAAUUAUUAACACGAAAUGCUACUGUCACAAUAUAUUCAUAAGAUACAUGUCUUGGUCGAACAUGCAUGCACAAGUAACUAUAAUUUUGUUUUUGUCUCAGAAAGUAGUUAGAGUCGACUUAUGCGUUUAAUUACUUCUUAUGCCAUUUAGUACUACAAUUGUGGUUUUAGGUAACUGUAGUACUAGGAUGCGUUUAAUGAGCAGUUGGUCAAUCAUCCUCAAGUGUUUGUGUUAUUGGCAAGAGAUGUUAGAGGAGUCUUAUAAAGAAAAAGGGUUUUUGAACAUUAGUCUUUACAAAAGAUUAAAAUUAAAAAAAAAUAAAUAAAAAUUAUGAUGCUAGAUUACAUAUUCAAUUUAAUCCCUUGAAGUGUACUUUUAUCAAAAUUUAUAUUCAAUUUUUGUUAUUUAAUGUGCAUUUUUAUUUAAUCUCUCCACAUUAAAUUUUAAUUUUAUUAAUAUGCACAUAUUUAUUUCUUUAAUUAUAAAUGAACAUAAAUGAGAAAAUAUUAAAAGAAAUUUGUGAUACCAAAAUAUAUAAAUACAUAAGUGUGCAUAAAUGACUGUGCUGAAAUAUAUAAUUUUUUUUUUGUACCGAAAUAUUUGUACCUACAUGAUUGUACCGAAAUAUAUUAUAAUGAACCUAAAUGUAUGUACCGAAAUAUCUUAUAUUGAAUUAAUGUACCUAAAUGUCAAUACCAAAAUGUAUGUACCAAAAUGUACGUACCGAAAUAUAGUAUAUUGAAUUAAUGUACCUAAAAGUUAAUACUCAAAUGUGUGUACUAAAAUGUAUGUACCAAAAUGUAUUAUAUUAAAUUAAUGUACCUAUAUGUUUGUAUCGAUGGAUAUACCAAAAUAUUCAAAUGUGUUAAUGUACCUAAAUUAAUGUACCUAUAUGUUUGUAUCCAGGGGUGGAUCUAUUAAGGGACCUAGGUGGUCCUGGGACCACCCAGAUGCUUGGAUAAUUGGCU